GUGUCAGCAGCCGCGGUAAUACGAACUGCGCGAACGUUAUUCGGAAUCACUGGGCUUACAGGGUGCGUAGGCGGCCCGUCAGGUCCGAUGUGAAAUCCCCCAGCUCAACUGGGGAAUGGCAUUGGAAACCGAUGGGCUGGAGUGAGCUAGAGGUGCACGGAACUUCCGGUGGAGCGGUGAAAUGUGUUGAGAUCGGAAGGAACACCAGAGGCGAAGGCGGUGCACUGGGGCUUGUCUGACGCUGAGGCACGAAAGCCAGGGGAGCGAACGGGAUUAGAAACCCCCGUAGUCC
rnacentral:rRNA from 1 species